rnacentral:rRNA from 1 species
ACGGAGGAUGCGAGCGUUAUCCGGAUUUAUUGGGUUUAAAGGGUGCGUAGGCGGCACGCCAAGUCAGCGGUGAAAUUUUCGGGCUCAACCGGGACUUUGCCGUUGAUACUGGCGAGCUAGAGUGCAGAAGAGGCAGGCGGAAUGCGUAGUGUAGCGGUGAAAUGCAUAGAUAUCACGCAGAACACCGAUUGCGAAGGCAGCCUGCUGGGCUGUGACAGACGCUGAGGCACGAAAGCGUGGGUAUCGAACAG